rnacentral:rRNA from 1 species
GACGAACGCUGGCGGCGUGCUUAACACAUGCAAGUCGAACGGAAAGGCCCUGCUUUUGUGGGGUGCUCGAGUGGCGAACGGGUGAGUAACACGUGAGUAACCUGCCCUUGACUUUGGGAUAACUUCAGGAAACUGGGGCUAAUACCGGAUAGGAGCUCCUGCUGCAUGGUGGGGGUUGGAAAGUUUCGGCGGUUGGGGAUGGACUCGCGGCUUAUCAGCUUGUUGGUGGGGUAGUGGCUUACCAAGGCUUUGACGGGUAGCCGGCCUGAGAGGGUGACCGGCCACAUUGGGACUGAGAUACGGCCCAGACUCCUACGGGAGGCAGCAGUGGGGAAGAUUGCACAAUGGGCGGAAGCCUGAUGCAGCAACGCCGCGUGCGGGAUGACGGCCUUCGGGUGGUAAACCGCUUUCGCCUGUGACGAAGCGUGAGUGACGGUAAUGGGGAAAGAAGCACCGCCUAACUACGG